rnacentral:rRNA from 1 species
GAUGAACGCUAGCGGCAGGCUUAAUACAUGCAAGUCGAACGGGAUUCAGAGUAGCAAUACUUUGAUGAGAGUGGCGCACGGGUGCGUAACGCGUAUGCAACCUACCUUUAACAGGUGAAUAGCCCCGAGAAAUCGGGAUUAAUACACCGUAACAUUGCGAGAUGGCAUCAUUUUGCAAUUAGAGAUUUAUCGGUUAAAGAUGGGCAUGCGUGACAUUAGCUAGUUGGUGAGGUAACGGCUCACCAAGGCCACGAUGUCUAGGGGUCCUGAGAGGGUUAUCCCCCACACUGGUACUGAGACACGGACCAGACUCCUACGGGGGGCAGCAGUAAGGAAUAUUGGUCAAUGGGCGCAAGCCUGAACCAGCCAUGCCGCGUGCAGGAAGACGGCCCUAUGGGUUGUAGACUGCUUUUGUCAGGGAUAAACCUAUCUACGUGUAGAUAGCUGAGGUACCUGAAGAAUAAGCAUCGGCUAACUCCGUGCCAG